UACGUAGGGUGCGAGCGUUAAUCGGAAUUACUGGGCGUAAAGCGUGCGCAGGCGGUUCGUUAAGUCUGAUGUGAAAGCCCCGGGCUCAACCUGGGAACUGCAUUGGAAACUGGCGAGCUUGAGUAUGGCAGAGGGGGGUGGAAUUCCGCGUGUAGCAGUGAAAUGCGUAGAUAUCGUGAGGAAGACCAGUGGCGAAGGCGGAUCUCUGGACAGCUCCUGACGCUGAGGCGCGAAGGCUAGGGGAGCAAACGGG
rnacentral:rRNA from 1 species